UGGAGCAACAGCCCUAGUGGCGGGGCCAGCUCUGGAGCCCUGGAGUCAGCCCCCGCAGGAACUCCGGAGCUCUCCGUCUGCAGGGCCUGAUCUGCUCCGCUCGGGG
rnacentral:pre_miRNA from 1 species